rnacentral:tRNA from 1 species
GAUAGAGUGACUGAAUUAUAGGUGAUAAAUUGUAAAUUUAUUUAUGGCUAGAAAGCCCUCUAUCA